rnacentral:rRNA from 1 species
GACGGGGGAUGCGAGCGUUGUCCGGAAUCAUUGGGCGUAAAGAGUUCGUAGGCGGUUAUACAAGUCUGAUGUUAAAGGCCGAGGCUUAACCUCGGUAAGGCGUUGGAAACUGUAUAACUAGAGGCUGGUAGAGGUAAGGGGAAUUCCCAGUGUAGCGGUGAAAUGCGUAGAUAUUGGGAGGAACACCAGUGGCGAAAGCGCCUUACUGGGCUAGACCUGACGCUGAGGAACGAAAGCCGGGGGAGCGAAUGGG